CAGACCACAGUCAUUUCUCCCACACAAACCAUCUCUGCUAAAAUUGUGGAACAAAUUAAGUUUGUGAAUCAUUCCAGAUCACAAUUUUCAUCAGAAAGAGUUCUAAUUGACCUAAGCACCUUCAUCAAAAUAAUUGCCUGUGGUUUUCAUUCAUGAACAAGGUUCAGGAACUCGGACUCAGAGGGGCCCCAGAAUCUUCCCACUCCAAGGCCUGCUCACAACGGCAGCAAGGGGACCCCACUCUAUGUAAG
ensembl:lincRNA